CAUCCUCCAAGGCUAAAUACUCCUGACUGACCGAUAGUGAACCAGUACCGUGAGGGAAAGGCGAAAAGAACCCCGGCGAGGGGAGUGAAAAAGAACCUGAAACCGUGUACGUACAAGCAGUGGGAGCACCCUUCGGGGUGUGACUGCGUACCUUUUGUAUAAUGGGUCAGCGACUUAUAUUCUGUAGCAAGGUUAACCGUAUAGGGGAGCCGGAGGGAAACCGAGUCUUAACCGGGCGUUAAGUUGCAGGGUAUAGACCCGAAACCCGGUGAUCUAGCCAUGGGCAGGUUGAAGGUUGGGUAACACUAACUGGAGGACCGAACCGACUAAUGUUGAAAAAUUAGCGGAUGACCUGUGGCU
rnacentral:rRNA from 2 species